rnacentral:rRNA from 1 species
CCUACGGGUGGCUGCAGUGGGGAAUAUUGGACAAUGGGGGCAACCCUGAUCCAGCCAUGCCGCGUGUGUGAAGAAGGCCCUCGGGUUGUAAAGCACUUUCAGUGAGGAAGAACGCCUGGUGGUUAAUACCCAUCAGGAAAGACAUCACUCACAGAAGAAGCACCGGCUAACUCCGUGCCAGCAGCCGCGGUAAUACGGAGGGUGCGAGCGUUAAUCGGAAUUACUGGGCGUAAAGCGCGCGUAGGUGGCUUGAUAAGCCGGUUGUGAAAGCCCCGGGCUCAACCUGGGAACGGCAUCCGGAACUGUCAAGCUAGAGCGCAGGAGAGGAAGGUAGAAUUCCCGGUGUAGCGGUGAAAUGCGUAGAGAUCGGGAGGAAUACCAGUGGCGAAGGCGGCCUUCUGGACUGACACUGACACUGAGGUGCGAAAGCGUGGGUAGCAAACAGGAUUAGAUACCCUUGUAGUC